rnacentral:rRNA from 1 species
AUUGAACGCUAACGGCACGCUUAACACAUGCAAGUCGAACGGCAGCACAGCAGUAGCAAUACUGUGGGUGGCGAGUGGCGGACGGGUGAGUAAUGUAUAGGAAUCUGCCUUGUAGUGGGGUAUAACCUGGGGAAACUCGGGCUAAUACCGCAUAAUCUUUACGAAGCAAAGCGGGGGAUCGUAAGACCUUGCGCUAUAAGAUGAGCCUAUAUUGGAUUAGCUAGUUGGUGGGGGAAAGGCCUACCAAGGCGACGAUCCAUAGCUGGUCUGAGAGGAUGAUCAGCCACACUGGGACUGAGACACGGCCCAGACUCCUACGGGAGGCAGCAGUGGGGAAUAUUGGACAAUGGGGGAAACCCUGAUCCAGCAAUGCCGUGUGUGUGAAGAAGGCCUUCGGGUUGUAAAGCACUUUUAGUGGGAAAGAAAAGCUCAAAGCUAAUAACUUUGAGCCUUGACGUUACCCACAGAAAAAGCACUGGCUAACUCUGUGCCAGCCGCCGCGGUAA